UACGUAGGGUGCAAGCGUUGUCCGGAAUUAUUGGGCGUAAAGAGCUCGUAGGCGGUUUGUUGCGUCGGCUGUGAAAUCCCGAGGCUCAACCUCGGGUCUGCAGUCGAUACGAGCAAACUAGAGUGUUGCAGGGGAGACUGGAAUUCCUGGUGUAGCGGUGAAAUGCGCAGAUAUCAGGAGGAACACCGGUGGCGAAGGCGGGUCUCUGGGCCAUAACUGACGCUGAGGAGCGAAAGCGUGGGGAGCGAACAGG
rnacentral:rRNA from 1 species